GUACACUCCUGCGGGAGGCAGCAGUGGGGAAUUUUGGACAAUGGGCGAAAGCCUGAUACAGCAAUGCCGCGUGAGUGAAGAAGGCCUUCGGGUUGUAAAGCUCUUUUGUCAGGGAAGAAACGGUGAGAGCUACUAUCUCUUGCUAAUGACGGUACCUGAAGAAUAAGCACCGGCUAACUACGUGCCAGCAGCCGCGGUAAUACGUAGGGUGCAAGCGUUAAUCGGAAUUACUGGGCGUAAAGCGUGCGCAGGCGGUUUUGUAAGUCUGAUGUGAAAUCCCCGGGCUCAACCUGGGAAUUGCAUUGGAGACUGCAAGGCUAGAAUCUGGCAGAGGGGGGUAGAAUUCCACGUGUAGCAGUGAAAUGCGUAGAUAUGUGGAGGAACACCGAUGGCGAAGGCAGCCCCCUGGGUCAAGAUUGACGCUCAUGCACGAAAGCGUGGGGAGCAAACAGGAUUAGAAACCCGGGUAGUCCCAUGAU
rnacentral:rRNA from 1 species